rnacentral:misc_RNA from 1 species
UUCGGGAGUUACAAACAAUCUAUAUCGCAGGAGGAAGUUUUUGGAUACGCAGAGAAGCAUUUACCUAAAAAAGAUGCAGAGAUUCAUCGCUAAAAGGCUUCUCUCCGGAAGAAAUUCCAAUUCCCUUCCGUCUCCGGCUUGCUGCUUCUCUCAGCUCGCCCAGAAGGAGGACAAUGACGUUCUUAUCCCCAAAAUGCCUCCUUUUGAUUACAGUCCUCCGCCGUAUACCGGUCCCUCCGCCAACGAGAUCAUGGCCAAGCGAAAAGAGUUUCUCAGCCCCUCCUUGUUCCACUUCUACAAAAACCCCCUGAACGUUGUGGAUGGGAGGAUGCAAUACCUGUUCGAUGAGAACGGGCGUAGAUACCUCGACGCUUUUGGUGGAAUUGCUACGGUCUGCUGCGGGCACUGCCAUCCAGAUAUUGUUGAGUCAAUAGUCAACCAGAUCAAGCGCUUACAACACUCCACUGUCCUCUACCUCAACCACGCCAUCGCUGAUUUUGCCGAGGCACUAGCCUCGAAGAUGCCCGGCAAUCUUAAGGUGGUGUUUUUCACAAAUUCUGGCACAGAAGCGAAUGAGUUGGCCAUGAUGAUUGCAAGACUAUACACAGGGUCUAAUGACAUAAUAUCAUUGCGGAAUGCAUACCAUGGGAAUGCUGCAGGGACGAUGGGUGCCACUGCACAGUCCAUCUGGAAAUUCAAUGUCAUACAGAGUGGAGUUUUCAUUUGAUCAAUUUUGUUUGGUGUGUAUUCCUCUGGAAGAGAAAAUACCCAAAAGAGGCG